rnacentral:rRNA from 1 species
CCAGAGAACUUUCCAGAGAUGGAUUGGUGCCUUCGGGAACUCUGAGACAGGUGCUGCAUGGCUGUCGUCAGCUCGUGUUGUGAAAUGUUGGGUUAACGUCCCGCAACGAGCGCAACCCUUAUCCUUUGUUGCCAGCGGUCCGGCCGGGAACUCAAAGGAGACUGCCAGUGAUAAACUGGAGGAAGGUGGGGAUGACGUCAAGUCAUCAUGGCCCUUACGAGUAGGGCUACACACGUGCUACAAUGGCGCAUACAAAGAGAAGCGACCUCGCGAGAGCAAGCGGACCUCAUAAAGUGCGUCGUAGUCCGGAUUGGAGUCUGCAACUCGACUCCAUGAAGUCGGAAUCGCUAGUAAUCGUGGAUCAGAAUGCCACGGUGAAUACGUUCCCGGGCCUUGUACACACCGCCCGUCACACCAUGGGAGUGGGUUGCAAAAGAAGUAGGUAGCUUAACCUUCGGGAGGGCGCUUACCACUUUGUGAUUCAUGACUGGGGUGAAGUCGUAACAAGGUAAGCGUAGUGCU